rnacentral:rRNA from 1 species
UACGUAGGGUGCAAGCGUUAAUCGGAAUUACUGGGCGUAAAGCGUGCGCAGGCGGUGAUGUAAGACAGAUGUGAAAUCCCCGGGCUCAACCUGGGAACUGCAUUUGUGACUGCAUCGCUGGAGUGCGGCAGAGGGGGAUGGAAUUCCGCGUGUAGCAGUGAAAUGCGUAGAUAUGCGGAGGAACACCGAUGGCGAAGGCAAUCCCCUGGGCCUGCACUGGACGCUCAUGCACGAAAGCGUGGGGAGCAAACAGGAUAGAUACCCUUGUA